GGGCCUGUAGCUCAGAGGA
rnacentral:tRNA from 2 species